rnacentral:rRNA from 1 species
GACGAACGCUGGCGGCGUGCUUAACACAUGCAAGUCGAACGGGCCCGCCCCUGUUUUUGGGGGUGGGUUGAGUGGCGAACGGGUGAGUAUCACGUGAGUAACCUGCCCCCUGCUCCUGGAUAACUGCUUGAAAGGGCGGCUAAUACGGGGUGUGCCGGCUGGUCCGCAUGGGCCUGGUCGGGAUAGUUUCAUCUUCGGGUGUUUCGGUGGGGGAUGGGCUCGCGGCCUAUCAGCUUGUUGGUGGGGUGAUGGCCCACCAAGGCGGUGACGGGUAGCCGGCCUGAGAGGGUGGGCGGCCACACUGGGACUGAGACACGGCCCAGACUCCUGCGGGAGGCAGCAGUGGGGGGGAUUGCACAAUGGGCGGAAGCCUGAUGCAGCGACGUCGCGUGAGGGAUGGAGGCCUUCGGGUUGUGAACCUCUUUCUCCGGGGGUGAAGGCCCUGUCCGUUGCGGCGGGGUUGACGGUAGCCGGGUAUGAAGCGCCGGCUAACUACGUG